UACAGAGGGUGCGAGCGUUAAUCGGAAUUACUGGGCGUAAAAGCGUGCGUAGACGGCUAUCUAAGUCGGGUGUGAAAGCCCCGGGCUCAACCUGGGAAUUGCAUUCGAGACUGAAUAGCUAGGGUACGGUAGAGGGAAGCGGAAUUUCCGGUGUAGCGGUGAAAUGCGUAGAUAUGGAAGGAACAUCAGUGGCGAAAGCGGCUUCCUGGGCCGUACCGACGUCAGGCACGAAAGCGUGGGGAGCAAACAGG
rnacentral:rRNA from 1 species